AGCGUAGGCGGGUUAUCAAGUUGGAGGUGAAAGCCCAGGGCUCAACCUUGGAAUUGCCUUCAAAACUGAUAGCCUAGAGUAUGAUAGAGGUAAGUGGAACUCCGAGUGUAGAGGUGAAAUUCGUAGAUAUUCGGAAGAACACCAGUGGCGAAGGCGACUUACUGGAUCAUGACUGACGCUGAGGCUCGAAAGCGUGGGGAGCAAACA
rnacentral:rRNA from 1 species